rnacentral:rRNA from 1 species
UUUCCAGACUCCUACGGGAGGCAGCAGUGGGGAAUAUUGCACAAUGGGGGAAACCCUGAUGCAGCGACGCCGCGUGAGUGAAGAAGUAUCUCGGUACGUAAAGCUCUAUCAGCAGGGAAGAAAAUGACGGUACCUGACUAAGAAGCCCCGGCUAACUACGUGCCAGCAGCCGCGGUAAUACGUAGGGGGCAAGCGUUAUCCGGAUUUACUGGGUGUAAAGGGGGCGCAGACGGCAAUGCAAGCCAGGAGUGAAAGCCCGGGGCCCAACCCCGGGACUGCUCUUGGAACUGCAUGGCUGGAGUACAGGAGGGGCAGGCGGAAUUCCUAGUGUAGCGGUGAAAUGCGUAGAUAUUAGGAGGAACACCGGUGGCGAAGGCGGCCUGCUGGACUGUGACUGACGUUGAGGCCCGAAGGCGUGGGGAGCAAACAGGAUUAGAUACCCGUGUA